rnacentral:rRNA from 1 species
GGACCCGCACAAGUAGUGGAGCAUGUGGUUUAAUUCGAAGAUACGCGCAGAACCUUACCAACACUUGACAUGUUCGUCGCGACUUUAAGAGAUUAAAGUUUUCGGUUCGGCCGGACGAAACACAGGUGCUGCAUGGCUGUCGUCAGCUCGUGUCGUGAGAUGUUGGUUAAGUCCCGCAACGAGCGCAACCCUCACUUUUAGUUGCCAUCAUUUAGUUGGGCACUCUGAAAGAACUGCCAGUGAUAAGCUGGAGGAAGGUGGGGAUGACGUCAAGUCCUCAUGGCCCUUACGUGUUGGGCUACACACGUGCUACAAUGGUAUUUACAACAGGAAGCGAGACUGCGAAGUUAAG